UAGCAUUCACUCCUUAAAAUGUCCAUUCACUCGCUUUGAAGCUUCCAUGAUAAAUCAUAAAUUAUGAUAGCAUCUCGUCACCUAAUUUUGUCUUAUUUCCUCACCUUGACCGAUAGCAUUCAUCCCAUUCCGUAGUUCUUCUGUCCUUAAUUCAUUGUGGAGCUUUAAUCCAAUGGAAAUUGUUGGAGCUCAAGAUGCCUCCUCUUCAGAUUCUCCCUGUAGUUAUCAUGUGUUCUUGAGUUUCAGCGGUGAAGACACUGGCAAGAGGUUCACUGACCACCUCUACACAGCCUUAAAGUAUGCAGGAUUCCGCACCUUUAGAGAUGAUGACGAGAUUGAAAGAGGAGAAAAUAUUAAGUUUGAGUUGCAUAAAGCAAUUCAAGAGUCAAGGAUUUCAAUAGUUGUCUUCUCAAAAAACUAUGCUUCUUCGAGCUGGUGCCUUGAUGAACUUCUGAUGAUCCUCAAACGUAGGAAGACCACUAGCCAUGUAGUGCUACCUGUCUUCUAUCACGUGAAUCCAUCCCAUGUGAGGAAGCAAAUGGGAAGUUUCAAAAAAGCAUUCAUGAGGCAUAAAAAGAGAUUCCAUACAGAAGCAGGUGAAAUAAAAGAUGACUGGAAGGGCAAGAUGCAAGAAUGGAGGGCAGCACUCAGAGAAGCUGCAGAUUUAGCAGGGAUGAAUUUACAAAAUCAAGCUGACGGGUUCGAGUCAAAAUUUAUCCACAAGAUUGUAGAAGUGGUUGCAGACAAACUAAAACGCACAAUCUUGGGCAAUUCUCCCUACUUGAUUGGAAUACAUUCUCGAGCCAAAAAUAUUGGUCUUUGGUUACAAGAUGGGUCUAGUGAUGUUGGUAUAGUUGCAAUUUGUGGGAUAGGUGGAAUAGGGAAGACAACAAUUGCCAAAGUUUUAUAUAAUUUGAACUUCUCAAGAUUUGAAGGUAGCAGUUUUCUUGCAAAUGUAAGAGAAAUUCUAAAACAACCGAAUGGUUUACUUCAAUUACAAAGACAACUUCUUGCAGACAUUUUAAAGGGAAGAAAGAAAAAGUUAUACAGUGUUGAUGAAGGAAUUGUUAAAAUUAAAGAUGCAUUACGAUGCAAAAGAAUUCUUAUAAUUCUUGAUGAUGUGGAUACAAUAGACCAACUGGAUGCAAUACUUGGAAUGCGAGAUUGGCUUUUUCAAGGUAGUAAAAUCAUCAUAACCACUAGACGUGAGCGGUUGCUAAGGGCUCAUGAAAUUUGCCACAUUCAUAAAGUUGAAAUUUUGGAUAAUGAUAAGUCCUUAGAGCUCUUUAGUUGGCAUGCCUUUGGGCAAAACCGUCCCAUUGAUGGUUUCAUAAAGGAAUCAAAAAGGGUGGUACAAUACUGUGGAGGGCUUCCACUAGCUAUAAAAAUUUUGGGUUCUUCUUUGUCAGGGAAAAGCUUAAAUGUCUGGAAAAGUCAAUUGGAGAAGUUGAAAGCAAUUCCUGAUUAUCAAGUCAUUGAAAAACUCAAAAUAAGCUAUGACUCUUUACAAGAUGACCACGACAAAAAUUUAUUCCUCCAUGUCGCUUGUUUCUUUGUUGGGAUGGAUGCAGAUUGGGUAGUUACAAUUCUAGAUGGAUGUGAUUUUUACACAACGGUUGGGAUUCAAAAUCUCAUUGAUAGAAGUCUGUUAACGAUUGACGAACACAAAAAGUUGGUGAUGCAUCAAUUGAUUCAAGAAAUGGGAAAAGAAAUUGUUCGUCAAGAAUCACCUAAGGUGCCAGGAGAACGUAGUAGACUCUGGAAUCAUAAGGAUUCCUUCAAUGUCUUGAAAGAAAAUACUGGGACAGGAAAAAUUGAAGGUCUCAUACUUGAUAUGAAUUUUUUGGAGGAUAAAUAUGACAAGACAGCCUUUGGUGUCAAUAGAAAACGUCAUUUUGAAGAAUUCCUUGGCACAUCUUUGUUGUCAAAUGUAGGAAAUUCAUUUAAAAGACAUUGUUUUGGCAUCUUCUCUCGGCAGACAGUGGGCACUGCUCUACGAAAUUCAGAUAUGAUAGCUUUGGAAGUUGAUGCAUUUGAAAGGAUGCACAAACUAAAACUUUUGCAACUCAACUAUUUACAAGUCAAUGGAAGCUUUGAAAAUUUUCCUAAAGGAUUACGAUGGUUGUGUUGGCAUGGAUUCUCUUUCAACUCUAUCUGCUAUGAUUUCCCUUUGGAUAACCUAGUUGUUCUUGACAUGCAAUAUAGCAACUUGAAAAAAGUUUGGGAAGGAACCAAGUUUCUCGAGUCACUAAAAAUCCUUGAUCUCAGUCAUUCCCAUUGCCUUUCCAAAACUCCUAAUUUCUUGCAAGUACCCAAUCUUGAGCAACUAAUACUUGAAAAUUGUGCACAGCUGGUAGAGGUUCAUGAAUCUGUUGGAUACCUUCAAAGACUUGUUUUAUUAAAUUUAAAAGAUUGCAAAAAUCUAAGGAAGCUUCCAAGAAGCAUUGUCAUGCUACAAUUUUUGGAAACACUUGAUAUCUCAGGUUGCUCAAAUAUUAAGGAAUUGCCAAUAGAGAUAAGGACUAUGCAUUCUUUAACAAAGCUCAAUGCAAAUGGAACUGCCGUAAGUCAAUUACUCUCUACAACUAAGGAGGUCAAACCAUGGUAUUCAUUCAUCUGGCCUUUUCCAUCGAAGCCAAGAAAAAGUGUAGAAAUUUCAUGGGCUCUUUUACCAUGGUAUGUGGUACACUUAAGUCUUGUGGGCUGCAAUUUAUCAGAGGAUGCUUUUCCGAAGGAUCUUAGCAACCUAUCCUCAUUGCAGAUAUUAAAUCUGAGUAAUAAUCCAAUUUGUAGCCUCCCGAAUUGCAUCAGAGGUCUUAUUGGAAUUCAGAUCCUUGUAUUAGAUGAGUGUAAAAGGCUUCAAUCUCUUAUAGUGGAGCAGAAUUUGAAAGUAUUGUUGUUCUCUGGCUGUACAUUGUUGGAGAAAGUAACAUUUCAAUCACUUCCAUCAACCAUAGAAUUAAAUAGCGUUUAUGAUGCAUAUAUAGUGUCGAAUAAUUUGGAAGAAUUGUACUACUCAAAAUGCAGAUUGGAUUCAGCUCCAUCAACCGUGGAAUAUAAUAACAUUUGGGAGAAUCAAUUUGUUGUGAACAAGAACUGGAGACCAUUGCUAUGUACUGGCAAGUGCGACAAUAUAGUUGAGUUUAUGAGUGACUAUAAGUUAGCACCCAUAGGGAAUAUUGACAUGGAGAUAUUGAAUAAUUUGGGCUUGCCCAACUUAGGAUCCAUGGGAAGCCCAGCUGUUGCGCUUUCAAGAUGCUACUCAAAGAAUCCAAGGAAGCUUCCUCUACAGGGAUGUCACGAAGAACAUAUAUUUUGCGUUUAUCUUCCGGGAAGCAAGAUUCCAACUUGGUUUAAUCUUAAAAAUAUAGGAUCUUUAAUAUCUUUUACUGUGCCAUCGCAUUUCAGAAUUCAAGCCUUGAGUGUGUGUUCUAUUUAUGCACUUUCCAGUAAGUGCUCUAUUUAUGCUUUUUCCAAUAAUCCAAAAUAUCAUGACCAUAAUUGUAUGGCACAUACUAUUAUCAAUAAUACCACCAAGAGUCUGAUUUGGAGUCAUUCCCCAUUAGUUUUUGGCAUUCCAGAAGUUGAUGAGGAUAUGAUGUGGUUAAGUUAUUGGAAGUUUGAAAAUCAGUUGGAAAGUGGGGAUGAACUGAAUAUUUCCGUGGUUGGAGAAGAAGGUUUUCAAGUGAAGGAGGUCGGAGUCCACCUUGUGUACAAGGAGCAAGAAGAGAAGAGUAGCCAAUCAGCUAGAGAAGAAGCAUCCCAAUUACAAUCCUCUCUCUAUGAUAAUGUCGUUCCUGGAAAUGCACCUAGAGUACAUCCAGCGAGCAAAAAACUCUUCCGUCUCGGCAAGCAUUGGAUGAAUUGUUCGAUUUGUAAUAGUCUAUAACCUCAACCAUUGUGCACUACCUCAGCAAUUGGUUGCUUCGGGAUUAGUGAGAAAUUGGUGGCAGUUUCAAGCAUGGUAGAGGAGGUAUUAUGCUUUAUUUGGUUUGGACAUGGAUAUGCUCACUAGGGAGUCAAUUCAUUCAUUGGAGAAGAUAGUUUGCUAAUGACUUGCUAUUCAUCUUGGUUUUGCUCUUAUGCUGGUUGGAUUUAAUUCUUUAGUCUCUUCAAAGAAGACGUUGUUGUUGAUUGGCUAGUUUGGAGGGCGCUAUGUAAUUUGUUAUGAUGCAGUUUGAAGAGAAAUUGUUUCUUAUUAUUCCAUAUCUAAUCAAUGAUACAGAGUCUCCUAUUUA